rnacentral:rRNA from 1 species
CGUGCUUAAUACAUGCAAGUCAACUUGACUUUAGAUAGCAAUAUCGAAAAGUAGGGUGGCGCACGGGUGCGUAACGCGUAGGUAAUCUGCCCUGAGGUCUGACAUAACCCGUCGAAAGGCGGGCUAACAUCAGAUGAUAUAUAAUCACGACAUCGUGGAAAUAUCAAAUCUUCGGAGCCUUGGGAUGAGCCUGCGUCUGAUUAGGUAGUUGGCGGAGUAAUAGCCCACCAAGCCUACGAUCAGUAGCUGGUCUGAGAGGAUGAUCAGCCACACUGGAACUGAGACACGGUCCAGACUCCUACGGGAGGCAGCAGUAAGGAAUAUUGCUCAAUGGGGGAAACCCUGAAGCAGCAACGCCGCGUGAAGGAUGAAAUACUUUGUAUGUAAACUUCUGUAAGAUGGGAAAAAUAUUCUCCUCGGGAGAAUUGAUUGUACCAUCAGAGUAAGCCCCGGCUAACUACGUG